UUUAUCAACAAAGAAACCCUAAAUCAGCCGUACUAUGUUAUCUUCGAGGCUUUACCUUCGCCUCCAUCAGUGAAGGUUUCAACUAUGUUUCUUCGUUACUUCUCAGGUUUCUGCUAUUUGGUGGGAUUUGACAUUAGUCAUAUAUUGGUGAGAAUAGGCGAAACAUUGCGCAAAUAUCUGUCGAAUAUGCUGCCAAGCUUGGAUAUGCAUGUGGAUAUUGGAUUUUCUCUUGAUAUUGCCCUUAAUUUGCAUAGAGUCAUCAUUUAUGGACAAACCUAUAGGAAUCCUGAAUUUUUUGUCUAUAUUGAAGGAUGCUAACAUGAGUUGCGAAGUGCUCUAAUGUCAUUAUUACCAUGUGAUGAAUGAACCGCACCAUAUUUGUUUGUACUAAUUCUUGUACAUCUUGAAAUUUGUAGACUAGUCAAUAAUAUGGAUGAGAGAAGAACCUGAAAAAUUCAUUUAAUAAGUUACAGAAUAAUAUAGUUAUCUAGCCUCUGGGAGCUCUGACUGGUGGUAACGAUAGCAAAUUUCGCAACUUCUUGUUCAGCUGCCUUGAUGUAGAAAAAAAUCCAAUAAACAGGCGGCCACAUUUGCUUAUACGACUUUGAAAGAAUGCAAUGGCUCAACUGCAUCAAAGAACAAAAAUGCCAGAGAGUUCUAGAGUUAGGAAUCCAUGAAGACCGAAGUUAGAUCACCAUUUCUAAAACAAGAGUAAGAUGGUCAACAAGAUACAUGUUCUAGUAAUAUAGUCAUCAAAUAACAGGUUUUUGUAACUUUGCUCACACAUGCACGCAAGCUAGCCUGGUGUGGGUGCAGAAGCCUGUGUAUGCAAUUCUGGUGAUCAAAUUAUCUUAGAUGUAAUUGUCAGCAACUAAAGCCAAAUUCUUAUUUUCUCUUCUCUAUUGGUCUGGAUAAAAAAUACUGGGAUGGAGUGAUGUGGCAUUGGCAUUCGGGCAGUAGCCAUGACAAUCGCUUUGGAGCAGACUCUUUUACAAAGCAGAAGGGCGAGGAGAGUCAGAUAACCUGAAAUCCAGUUUUAGAUUGCUUCUUGUAUGGGUCACUGGCAUCAUAUUUACUACUGUGUCUGUAUGGUCAGAUGAGCACCUCACUUUAAGAUACCACCGCCAUCUCUUUCUAUCUUUGACACCCAAGUGUAUGACCCAAGGAUGAGAGCAGUAGAAGGAUAAACACACAAGGCUGAGAAGGGAAGGAAAAAAAGGAAAUAAAUGGGAGUCAUCUUUAUGGACAAUGGCCUAACUCAACUCCAUAGAAUGGGCAUUGGUCUCUUCUCUUCUGCUCAAAUGACUGUCAUCUUCUGGUUUUCUUCCUAAAUCUUGUUUUCAACCUUUUAUUAGACUGCAUUCUGUGUCAAUUCCUUGAACCAUAUGAAAUCUAGAAAUGUGAAGUUUCUUAUUAUUUCUGCUUACA